rnacentral:misc_RNA from 1 species
GAUGAAGAACGCAGCAAAAUGCGAUACUUGGUGUGAAUUGCAGAAUCCCGUGAACCAUCGAGUUUUUGAACGCAAGUUGCGCCCGAAGCCUUUUGGCCGAGGGCACGUCUGCCUGGGCGUCACGCAUCGCGUCGCCCCCCACAAUUCUCCGUAAAAGGAACAUGUGUUUUGGGGGCGGAUAUUGGUCUCCCGUGCUCAUGGCGUGGUUGGCCGAAAUAGGAGUCCUUUCGAUGGACGCACGAACUAGUGGUGGUCGUAAAAACCCUCGUCUUUUGUUUCGUGCUGUUGCUCGCAAGGUAAACUCUUUAAAAACCCCAAUGUGUCGUCUCUUGACGACGCUUCGACCGCGACCCCAGGUCAGGCGGGACUACCCGCUGAGUUUAAGCAUAUCAAUAAGCGGGGA